rnacentral:rRNA from 1 species
AAGGGCGUGAACCGCUUAGAAUAAAACGGACGGAGCCGUCAGUGGCCUGUCGGACUCAGUCGAUACGACGCGUCUCUAUCGAUUCCUUGUCUGAGCGAAUCUUAUUGUCAGACUGGAACCGGUACGAUCGAUGAGGCGUUCGUUCGAUGCAUUUCCGGCGGGUAUGCGCCGCGACCGAUGCGAACGGCUGGUGAAUCUGGCGAAUUGCGGUCGAUAAGGUCGUUUUCGGACGUCCACAUCGAGACCAGUUCGUCGGGCGUUAGUCGCCAGACUGUGAGGCAUCGAGCGCGAUCGAUACAUAGGAAACGUCGGCGUUAAAUGCGUCGUUCCGGUGGAACGCCGAUACGCGGAUCGACGCCUGCUCGUCAGGCGCUCGAUUCGUUAGUGCAGGCGCUAGAAACCGUGUUCGACCGUUUAUACGACGUUUCGGCGUCAGCGGCGUCCGAGACGGUCGCCCGUCCGACCCGUCUUGAAACACGGACCAAGGAGUCUAACGUAUGCGCGAGCUAAUGGGCGUGAAAACCCCAUAAGCGCAAUGAAAGUGAAAGCCGUCUCGGCACGGUGCAAGGGUACGAUCCUAUGGCCGUCCUUCACGGGACUAAGUAGGCGCAGUACCGUCCCGUCCUGAUCGCUUUGUCGAUAGGGCGGAGACUGAGUGUAUACGUUGGGACCCGAAAGAUGGUGAACUAUGCCUGAGCAGAGCGAAGCCAGAGGAAACUCUGGUGGAGGUUCGUAGCGGUUCUGACGUGCAAAUCGAUCGUCAGACUGGG